ACCGGUCUCCGGUAGUGGCCCCCGGGAGCCCCGGCAGUCGCCGGCACCCCGGGCGCUUCGAUCGAAGACCGGC
rfam:Micromonospora sp. ATCC 39149 genomic scaffold supercont1.1, whole genome shotgun sequence.